UGGGGAAUUUUGGACAAUGGGGGAAACCCUGAUCCAGCCAUGCCGCGUGCGGGAAGAAGGCCUUCGGGUUGUAAACCGCUUUAGUCUAGGAAAAAGGGGUGCAGGGUUAAUACCCCUGUGCUUUGAUGGUACUGGAAGAAUAAGCACCGGCUAACUACGUGACAGCAGCCGCGGUAAUACGUAGGGUGCGAGCGUUAAUCGGAAUUACUGGGCGUAAAGGGCGCGUAGGUGGUUCAUUAAGUUAGAGGU
rnacentral:rRNA from 1 species